GACGAACGCUGGCGGCGUGGAUUAGGCAUGCAAGUCGAACGGUAUCAUCCUUUCGGGGGUGAGAGAGUGGCGAACUGGUGAGUAACACGUAGGUUAUCUACCCUCAAGACGGGGACAACCCAGGGAAACUUGGGCUAAUACCGGAUGUGAGCAACUUUUAGUUGUUUGAAAGGUGGCGUAAGCUGUCGCUUGGGGAUGAGCCUGCGUCCUAUAGUUAGUUGGUGAGGUAACGGCUCACCUAGGCAAUGAUAGGUAGGCGGCCUUAACGGGUGGUCGCCCACACUGGGAUUGAGAUACGGCCCAGACUCCUACGGGAGGCAGCAGUCGAGAAUAGUCUACAAUGGUCGGAAGACUGAUAGUGCGACGCCGCGUGAACGAUGAAUCCCUUCGGGGUGUAAAGUUCUUUUAUAUGUGAGCAGUGCUUCUUAUAUUAACAGUAUGGGGAGAGAGAUAUUAGCAUAUGAAUAAGCAACGGCUAACUCCGUGCCAGCAGCCGCGGU
rnacentral:rRNA from 1 species